rnacentral:rRNA from 1 species
GAUGAACGCUGGCGGCGUGCCUAAUACAUGCAAGUCGAGCGAAUGGAUUGAGAGCUUGCUCUUAUGAAGUUAGCGGCGGACGGGUGAGUAACACGUGGGUAACCUGCCCAUAAGACUGGGAUAACUCCGGGAAACCGGGGCUAAUACCGGAUAACAUUUUGAACCGCAUGGUUCGAAAUUGAAAGGCGGCUGCGGCGGUCACUUAUGGAUGGACCCGGGUCGCAUUAGCUAGUUGGUGAGGCAACGGCUCACCAAGGCAACGAUGUGUAGCCGACCUGAGAGGGUGAUCGGCCACACUGGGACUGAGACACGGCCCAUACUCCUACGGGAGGCAGCAGUAGGGAAUCUUCCGCAAUGGACGAAAGUCUGACGGAGCAACGCCGCGUGAGUGAUGAAGGCUUUCGGGUCGUAAAACUCUGUUGUUAGGGAAGAACAAGUGCUAGUUGAAUAAGCUGGCACCUUGACGGUACCUAACCAGAAAGCCACGGCUAACUACGUGCCAGCAGCCGCCGUAA